GCAGGACACAUUGAACAUCGAUAUCUUGAACGCAUAUUGCGGGCCUCGGGCAAUCCCGAGGCCAAGCCUGUCUCAGGGUCGGUUGAAUUACAAUCGCGGGUCGCACUCUGCCCGCGCACUGGGCCGUCUCGCACGCGACGACGUUCGCGGCGCUCUCGUCUUUCGGUCGCACUCUGCCGAUCGACGAGCCGCGCCGCCUGUCGACGCGUUCGAGUCGCCUCAAGUUUAGACGUGCGGUCGCUCGUCCGAUUACAGCCGCGGUCAAUAGCGGUCGUCGGACGGGACGGUGACUCGGUACUCAAAGAGCCAUCCGCCUUUCUCCGACGUCGAUCGGAU
rnacentral:misc_RNA from 1 species